CCCAGGCUUCUUGAACGUUCAUAUUUUGUCAUAUACUUACGCUUCCUGAGGUCGCUCCUCCGGUGCUCUGGUUUUGCCUCACCUUCACCCAAUAGGGGGUCUUGUACAUCCUCAGUGUUUCCAUUUUCUUCUUCUAACUCCGCUCCUCCUAGAUAAUGAAACACAUUAAUGUUUGAUGAUUAAUAUAGUUAUGCAACAUCCAUGAAUUACGUUCAAAUACUGAAGAAUAUGGAAAUAAAUUAUUUUACAAGAAGUUCGGGCUCCAUGGGCUCAUCCUUGUAUCUGAAACAAUGUAUACAUGCCUAAUACAAAAGAGACCAAAUGACCUUUCCUACAGUCCAUUGAUCUUCACAAUAACUAAAUAAGCAAUCAGCGACAAUAAGAAACCAGUAAAGGGCUAGUUCAUUAGUUCAUAAUUCAUAACUAAAGUGUUUUUUAAUUUUUUUACUCAGUUUCCGAGAAAAAUAAAAGAAUAAAUAAUUAAGCUUAAGCAUAAAGAUAACCUUUAGUAGAACUAACCAGGUCAAAACAAUACUAGUGCACAAGGUACGUACCAUGCUACCAUCACUAGUGAAUGUUAUCUCUCUGAAGCUAGUUAACCAAUGCAGGAAUAAGCAACGCAACAAAUUUGCUAACAUAGAGACUCUGGACCUAAAAGGCACAAGGUUUCGAGUAGUAGCCUAAGGUGCAUGCAGGCAUUAGAUUGUAGUUCCAAUUUGAUUUUUAAACUUAGAAUUUGUUCCAUGUGUGUCAUACUCACUCAUUUGGUAAUACAUGAUUAUCAGAUGAGUCUGAGCUCAAUAGAACCACAGGUGAAGAUAGUCUCUCAGAUAAUACAAAUUAAAUGAUAAUAACAUCAUAUAUACCUUAUUUCUAUUUCCUUACAUCAACAUUAAGCAUUUUCAAUAAGUUUCUAGUAUUGUUUAACAAUAAUUUGUGUUCCUUACUUUUGGUGCUUAGAGAUUUGACAAAAUAAAGAAAUUGUUAAACUUAUUUUGAUCAUCUCAUCAAGUUCCCUUGCAAAUUGCAAUAUUUCAGUUUACUAACAGGUUCUCACCAGUUGAAUAGUGUUGGAAUCUCCCUAGUGAAGAACACUCAAUUAUGAAUCUUUCAACAAAAGAAGAUUAACGUAAUAAAAAGAAAAUGUUGUUUGUAAGAAAAAAUAGACAGAAACCCAAAAUGGCAUGAGAGAGAAUUAACGAUACUAUGACUUCUUCCACCUUCAAGAUUGUAUUUUAAUCAUUUCUUUGAAUGUUGAAUUGCAUACACAUGACUGUUGGCAACUGGCAGGAGGAGGUCGUUUGGGUAACAACAUGGUCAAAGAGGAGGUCUGGCAGAGGAGGCAUCAGCAGCAACCUGUUUGCAAUGGUGAUCGCCACAUUAUGGCGUGAAAGGAACUUGAUGAGGUUUCAAGGGAGUACCUAUCAAGUGGAUACUGGAUAGGGUAUGCAAGGAAAUUGCAAUAUACUUACACACAUGACGACGUGACAGGAAGAGAUGGCAACCAAUUCUGGCUCAACUGACUCAUUCUCCUUAGCCUACUCUGAUGACUAAGGACUUCAGCAAUUUCAGUCUAGUUUUGACUGAUCCUUUUUGGAAUUAUAUUGUUUUUUUAUUUUUGAAUAGGUUAGUAGUUGAGUCUUGUUUUAUAGACUCUUUGCAUCUGUAUUUCUUUAAGAAACAGCUGGUCAAGCCUGUUUGCUUUUGUAAUGAUAACUUUUGGUAAUAAAAUUUUCUUUUAAAAAAAAAACCGUACUUUAACUUUGAUUUUUGAAUUGUAUCAAUUAAUUUACAAUUUUAAAUUUAUGUUUGAAUGGAAAUCACAGUGAUUAUCCAAUAUUGCUUCUUCAAACAUUAUUUAUUAUCCUUUACAAAGGCUUAUUUUCAAAAUUUGUCAACAAGAAUAGCUUGAUCUCUCUCGAGAAAAAAGAAUGUAAAGCAUUUUUCUUGUAUAAAUAUUGGGUAUGUGAUUCUACCUCUAUUUUAUUCAUUCCCCAAGAACACCAUUAAUUUUCAUGUUUUGAUUCACUUAGAUGUUAAAGUUGAGAUUUUGAAUUCCUAAGGUAAGAACUUGAAAAUUGUUGUUUGGAUAUGAAUUUGAGAUUGGAUUUUGAUGAUUUUUGGAACUUAAGAUCCUUAUGUCAUAGGUAAAUCAGUUUUGGCAUCAAAUUACAGAUUUGUCAUUUUUUUUCAUCGUUUAAAAGCAUCAAACUUCGAGAUUUCGGGCCUAAUGUUACGAAAUUGUAUUUUGAUGAUUUGAGGAUCGAUUUGAACAUUUUCAAUGAAAUUUUACAUUUUGGUUCCUUACCUUAUGGGUAAAUAGAUCCUUAAAGAUCUUUUUCGCCCUUGGGGGCUUGCAGUUGACUUUUUGGAUCUGAGAUAGAAGUAUAGCAAUAUGGGUAUCGAUAGACUCAUAUUCUCUCGUAGAUCAUGUUCAUGAUAGAUUGGAAGUAUUCUUAGGCUGUUUGGGUAGGAAAGACGCAUGUGAUGGUUCAUGGCACAUUUUCUCCCCAUUCGAGGUAGGCCAUGACUUACUUUUCCCAAACUUGGCUUAGUGAUAGCUUAUCAUAUAACACAUGUUUGGGUUGGCGAAUGAUGGGUUUGGGGUAUUUAUUGAAUUGAAUAGAUGUCGUGAAAACCCAAAAUGGAAAAUUUAUCUAAUAAAUGGCUUACAAGUUAUCAUUUGUAUUGUAUUUGUGAAAACCAAGAUCGGAUCUUAGUUGAUAGAUGCUAUUUGAAUUGAAAGAUGUACUUGUUGUAUAUUACUCCAUUUCAUGCAUUAGUCCGUACCUUAAUGAGUUGGUGGCCUACGAGCAUUUUUUUUUUUUUGACAAGGUAACGAACUGUGUAUAUAAAUCAUCAACACAAAAGCUGGAAGCGAAAUUACAUCAUUGAAUCUACUAGUAGACUAACGCUACAUCCUAUCUCAAUUUACAAGGAUCCUAGGAUGUCCACAAUAGAAACGAGGUCAUCUAUAUAGUCUGAGCUGCACCAAUAACAAAAACUUAUGAUGCAAUUCAUCUUUAACUUUUGCAGAGAACUACUGUUGCCUUAAAAACACCUAGAGUUUCUCUUUUUCCAAAUGGUACACCAUAUUACUGCUGGGACAAUUCUCCAUCUGUCUUUGUUAGUGCUACCUCCACCCUCAAAAUUCCAGCUAGUUAGUGCCUCUCCUGUUCUUCCCGCCAUCGUCCACCUUACGCCUUUGAAGCUAGUAAAUAGAUUCCAAAGCUGGCUAACCACUUUACAAUGUAGAAACAGAUGAUUAAUUGUCUUUGCAUUAUGUUCACAAAAAUAACAUCUGGAGCACAUAUGUGUGCCUUCUUCUUUAGGUUCUCCUGAGUUGAAACGGCUUCUAUCACAACCAACCAAGUGAAAAUGGCUACUUUGUGUGGGGAUUUUUACUUUCCAGAUAAGUUUCCAAGGUAAAAAAAAUGAUCUGCAAAUGCAAACCCAUCUGAUUCAUGUCCGUAUAAGCGGAGCUUACAGUCAAAAUGUCCUUGUUGUGGCAUUUCCGUCUUAGAGUAUCUUCUCCUUCCUAUAGCCCUUUGCAUUGGUCUAGAGUGCCGUAAAGUCGGCCAAUCUUUCCAUCUCCCAGUUUUGCAUCAAUCUUCUAUAGGUCAAAUUCCAACCUUGAUUCGACAACACCUCAUGUAAAGUAGCAUUUUGUCGCUGAUUUAAAAUAUAAAUCUCAGGAAACAGUUGUUUAAGACGUUCCAUUCCCUAGCCAGUUAUCUUCCCAGAACAAGAUCCUCUUUUCAUCUUUCACAUUAAAACUAGUUCUUUCAAAGAAUACAUGCCACAAGUUCCUGAUUGAUCUCCACAAGCUUGUGCAGCAUGUGGUGUUUACUUCUUUUGUCCUCCAAAAACCUUCCCUUUCAUACUUAGCUUGAAUCACAGAGCCCUGUAAAGAAUGUUCUUCCUUAGGUAGUCUCAAAAGUCAUUUCAUCAAGAGACUUUUGUCCUGCUUUCUAUGAUUUCUGAUACCCAACCUUCCAUCUUUCUUAGACAAAAUUAGCUUGUCCCAUUUACCUAAAUGAUAACCUUUUUCCUCUUCGCCCCCACGCCACAAAAAAUCCCUCCAGAGAGCAUCAAUUCUUUCCUCCACAUUAACAGGAAGAGGAAAUAAUGACAUUAAGUAGGUAGGUGAAGCAUCUAAUACAAAAUUGGUCAGGACCAAUCUGCCACCCUGAGAUAAGUAUUGUGCUUUCCAUCUAGUCAAUCUUUUCUCAUAUCUUUCAAUGACAUCAUUCCAUAUAGGCCAAACCCAUUGACAGACACCUCAACUUGACACGAUCUUUCACUUUGACAUCUAAAGUCGACAUUAUUCAUUUUAAGCACCUCAACUAACGUCCAACUAUGUCAUUUUGGCACCUUUUGCACAACUGGCAUGGUGCGUGUAUUACACUUUCCUGAAGGCGCGUGGAAGGUAUUUUGCGGCUAAUAUGGCGUCCAAGUUGGCCCACAAGCAAUAUAUUAACUCACCUCCAUUAAUUUAUACCGUCUUCUUCAUUUUUAUUCACCAUUUUUACCAAUCUUAAACUUAUUUAAAGGUGAAAAUUAUUGGGAGAAAUUUAAAAAUUAGAUACACAUUUAGGAGUUCGUCCUCUCUCAUACGAAUCAGGUUUGUCAAUAAUGUUCAAUUUAUUUAGUUUAGUUGGGUGAAUAAUAACCAAAUUGAAUCUAAAAUAAAGAUUUAACUAGUCAUAUAAUUUAUAAAAUUGAUUUAACUAGUAAUAUAAUUUAUAAAAUUGAAUCUAAAAUUGAAUAAUAACUAGUCAUAUAAUUUAUAAAAAUCCACUCAUAUAAAUUAAAUUGAUAUCAUUCAUUAAUUUGAUCUAGUAUCGAAUGUGGUAAGCUUUUUUCUCUUCCAAGGGAAUAAUCUAAAACAAAUUGAAAUGAAAAACACCACCAAGCAAAAAAUUUUAACCCAAAUAAUUAAAAAAUAAGGGAUUAUAAUUACUCCCACCCCACCAAAUCUGUCUUCUCCAGCCCACCCCCACUCGCUCCCCUACCCUCAGUUAUCUUCUCCAAUGCCCACUGCCAUGUCAACUCCUCUACCCCCACCCCCACCCCCCACUGACCCUCCACAACUAAAAUCUUCUCUUCAAUUACCUCUGAAUACACAAUCAUCUUUUUUCAAAAAGAAAAUCUGUUAAGAAUUCAUUUUUUAACAAAAUCUGUUGAAAAUUUGUUGAAAUUUCACAAUUGGAGGAAAUUUUCACAAUCGAAUUGCAUUUGACAUGAUUCAUUCUUUCAUGCUAACUCUAAAAUCACGUUGGAGGAGCUUAAAAUUUUCCAAUGUGAUUUCGCUCAAAUUUGCUUGACAAGGAUAAUGUUAUGGCUGUAAACAACAAUUAGAAACCAAACGGUAUAACGUAAGUGGGCGAGAAUUGCGCAAUGGCUGAAAUAUUUAAAAAAGAUAGGAUUUGGGUUUGGGUUUGGGUAGGGGGGGGGUUUCUAAAGGCGGCGUUUGAAGAAGAUGAUUGUGGGGGGGGGGGCUGUUGCAGUGGGGAUUUGGGGGCGGGGGUUUGGAGGGUUGGAUUGACAUUUUAGGGGGAAAGGCGAAGAAAGGAUUGGAGCAAUGUUCAAAAUUGCGCCCGCAACGUCGCAUAAUGCGGUGAUAUGAUGUGAUGCGAUGCGGUCCUCCAGCGAGUCGCAACGAUGAUGCGGUGCAAUCUGAGAAUUAUGGGCGCAUCAAGCACUGUUGCGCGAUGCGUUGCGAUGUGCUCGCAAUAUGUAUUUUUUUAUUUUUGUUGCGGAUGGUAUUUAUUGUUGGUUGGAAUUGCAUGUGCUGGUAUUUUUGGGUUUUCACAAAAGUUGCUUAAAGUCAAAAAAAAGUGGUCAAAAGUUGAAAAAGGUAAUGAAGAAAGUUUAAAGUAGCAACUUAGGAUUUUCACAGCUUUCUCUCUUCUCCGACGAUCAAAGAAUUUGGCUACUGAACAGUGUAAGUCUUCUUCUUCUUCUUCUUCUUAACAAUUGAAUGACUGAUGCUCUGUUUUGAUGCUCAGUUUUUUGUCCUUUUUUUUUUUCUCUUCUUCUUCUACUUUUUUUAACAACUGAAUGACUGAUGCUCUGUUUUGAUGCUCAGUUUUUUGUCGUUUUUUUUCUGUUCUUCUUCUUCUUCUUUAACAACUGAAUGAUUGAUGCUCUGUUUUGAUGCUCAGUUUUUUGUCUUUUUUUUCUGUUCUUCUUUUUUUUUUAAAUGACUGAUGCUCUGUUCUUUUUCUUCUGAUGAAUGACUGGUGCUCUGUUUUGAUGCUCAGCUAUUCUGAAUGACUUCUUUAACAGCUGCCACGUUCAUUUUUUGUUAUUACGAUUAUGCGAUGUUGCGGGCGCAAUUCUGAACACUGGAUUAAACAUUAUAUUUUUUUUGAUUAAUGAGAUAAGCUUUCCAUAUUUAAUAGCUACAUCCUUGAUUAUUUAUUAUUAAGAAUAAAUAAUUUAUCUUUAUUUUGAUUAAAUGAAAUAAUCAUUGUAUAUUAAUUAGAGUUUAUAAAAUAAGGAUAAAUUUUAUAAUUAUUUAAUUAUAAAUUAAAGAUUAAUGUAUAUGUUUUGAAAGCACACAUUUUUUUUAAUGAAACUAAAUUUAGCGUAAGUAUAUAUUGAACAUAUUAAUAUUCUCAUUUUUUUAUUUUUUUAUUAAAUUGCGGUUCACUUCAAUGAUACGGUCGCAUCGCCAUCACGCAUCGCAUAAUGCGUGAUGCAGAGCCUUGUCGCAUUUUUCCGCAUCAUGCAUCUCUGAACAUUGGGUAGGAGAAGACAAUUUGGGGGGUGGGGUGGCGGCGGCGGCGAACAAUUUAGGGGUGGAGUGGUUGAGGAAGAUGAUAUGGGGUGGGAGUUGGGUGGUUGAGGAAGAUGAUAUAAGGUGGGGGUGAGGUUAUUAACAUUUUUUUGUUUAAAUUAAUUAUAUAAAAAUUAUUUUGAUAAAAAAGACAAAUGACCUCUAAUAAUUGAUCCCUUUACAUGUCAUAGUGCGUGUAAUACACGCGCAACAUAUAUGUUUGCUGAUUGUGCAAAAAGUGUCAAAAGUGACACAUUAAAAUACUAGUUGAGGUGCCAAAAAUGAACACCGUCUACUUUAGGUGCCAAAGUGAAAGAUCGUGUCAAGUUUAGGUGUCUGUCGAUGUGUUCCGCCUUCCAUAUAUCUCUUGAUUACUUGUUGCACCUAGAGCCAUUCCUAAGUAAACUGUUGGAAUAUUGCCUAUCUCUACCCAAAAUUCCAGCCAACACUUGAAUCGUAGCCACCGCGUUAAUUGGGAAACUAAGGUUUUUCUCCAAUUAAUGUGAAGGCCUAAGAUAGCCUCAAAGAGAAUCAAAUUAAUCCAUACUUCAAUUGACACUCUUCUGCAUCACAACAUAUGAGUGUGUCAUCGGCAUACUGUAAGUGUGUUACUUCCACUCCUUCAUUUUGUUCCUUUUGAUACAUUGAAACCUCUCAUCCAACCAUUAUUGUGGGCAAUCUUCACCAUGUUGUUGAGUCCCUCCAUCACCGGAAUGAACAGAAAAGGUGAUAACGGAUCACCUUGUCUCAAACCUCUUUGAGAAGGAAAAAAGCCUUCAGGUGAACCGUUUAUCAGAAACCUGACUGUGUUAAUGCAAAAUCUUAUCCAUCUAAUCCAUUUUCCUCCAACACCCAUCUUCUGCAGAAUUCCAAGCAAGAAACGCCAAUUCACAUGGUCAUAUGCCUUCUCAAUAUACAAUUGGCACAUGAUGCCUAGUGUCUUAUCUUUCAUCCUGGUGGCAUACGAGCUUUGUCUUUGAAAAGUUAUAUUACUAGCUUCCAGAUACAUAUUUGAAUGAAAUAUUCUUAUUUGAGAAGGUACUAGCCUAAUUUGAAAGUAAUCUUCUUAUUUGAAAAAGCGAUUAGCGUAAGAGCAUGGAUUUGAAAGCAAACUAAUUAAUUGAGGAUGAUUUACUUACCUAAAGACACCAUACUGAAGCAGUCUGCUUAGUUGAGGUAAUGCAGCCAAGUGGGCUUUGUGAGGAAAAGAAUCUGUUUAGUUGAUAAAAGUAGCCUAAGGGGACUCUUCUGAAAGCAAAACUCUAUUAUUUGAGAAGGCUUGUAGCAUACGGAUAUUGUGUUGACCUAUUGCAUUCAAAUUUUAUUGCAUUGUGAUCAUGCAUAUACAUCUAUUUGUCGUGGAUCAUGGAUUUAGCAGGGAUGAAGGAGCUAGAGGUUACUUCUGGGUGUUUGCUGAUUUGAUAUUUUUUAGUGUCGAGGUCAUUAUUGGCUGUGCUGUGCCAAGGUCUUUACAGGCUAAGGCUAACGCCAAGGUCUUUUCCAGCUAACCAGAGGUUUCUUUCAAAUGGUACAUGGGCCUCGCGAGCCCCACAUGGGUCCCACCACCCAGCAUACAACUGUGAAGGUUGGUUUUGUUUGAAGUUGUCACAGGCAGAGAGUAAAUUGGGGAAAAAGCAGUCUAUUCCCAGUGAAUGAGAUUGCUCAGAAUUAGGAAUUAGCAGACAUACUGGGAUACAGAGUUGAUCAAAUGCCUACACCUACUUGGGCAUGCUCUGGGCAGCAGGCAUGAAGCAAAGGAAAUACGGGAUGGCAUUCUGGAGAAAACUAAAAAGAAGCUUGCUAGAGGGAAGGCACGAUAUCUAUCUUUUGGCAGAAGAUUGAUCCUCAUCAACUCUGUUCUAGAUUCUGUGCCUACUUAUGUGAUGUCCUUAAUCCCGAUUCCAGCAAAUGUGGUGAAAAAAAUGGACAAGUAGGAGGAACUUCUUAUGGCAAGGAAAUAAGGCAGGGAAAGGCUACAACUUGGUCAAUUAGAAGAUUGUACUUCUCAGCAAAGACAAAGGGGGUCUGGGGAUCAGAAACCUGAGAUUGCAAAAUGAGAGCCUACUGAUGAAGUGGCUCUAGAGAUACAAUACGGAGGGAGCAACUCUUUGGAAGGAGGUUAUAAUAGCAAAAUAUGGAGAGCUAAGUCCCUGGUGUACAAAAGAUGCCUCUGAACCAUAUUGUGUGGAGGUGUGGAGGACAAUCAGAAAUUUAUGGCCAUAGAUGGAAAAAAAUUUAUAUAUCAACGUGGGAAACGGUAAGAAAACCAGUUUCUAGAAGGAUAGUUGGAUAGACCAAACUUCCAUCAGAGACCUUUUCCCAGAUUUGUUCCUUAUAUGUGAGAAUCCUGAUUCUAGAGUAUGUGACUGCUGGAUAGAUCAAGGUUGGACACAUCAUUUAGAAGAUUACUAAACGAUUGGGAGCUGGAGAGGAUGGCAGCUUUACUGGGAAAAUUAGGAGGAGAGAACAUAAUCACAACAGCCACAGACAAGGUCUUGUGAAAACAUAGCAAGGAUGGAGUAUGUUUGGGUCAGUAGUGCAUACAAAAGAGGCUUGCAGGUGAUGGUUGGGGCUCCGAAAUAUCGUUGAAACAAUUUCUGAAAGGGUGACAUCCCUAUAAAACUGAGAUGUUUCACUUGGCUAGUGAUAAAGCGGACAUGCCAAACACAAGAAGUCCUACAGAAGAGGGUACGCAGAUGGUUCCCAGGUGUUUUCUAUGUAACAUGACAGGGCAAACAAAUAAACAUCUAUUCUUACACUGCGAGUUCACUGUUCAAUUAUGGAGUCUGUUCCUCAACAUUACAAGCAUGAGUUGGACAAUGCCAGAACAUAUAUUAGAUCUUUUGAGCUGUUGGAUUAGAGGGGGCGGCAGUAAAAGUCAAAAGAAAUGGUGCAGAUCAAUACCAUCUUGUAUAUGGUGGCCAGUAUAGAGGGAAAGAAAUGGAAGAAGUCUUGAAAAUACGUCCAAUUCCACGCACAAAGUUAAAUGGAAUUGUAUUGUAUCUUUACUUUUUUGGUGUAAACAACUUUAUGUAGAAGAUAUAGAUCAGAUUAUAGAUUUCAUAAGAAAUCUGUAUUGCUACUCUUUUGUUUUUGGAGGUGGCCAGCCAGCAUACCCUUAAUGCUGAGGAUACAAAUCUUACCAGUUUUUUUUUUUUCAAACAAAAAAGAUGCUCUUGUACUGCAAACACUAGAUCUUUAUUGUAUUUUAAAUUUACUUUAAGACUUUCCUUCGGUUAUUAUUAUUACUUACGUGUUUUGACUUGAUAUGUCUUUGGGGUGAAGGGGUGGCUAACCUACCAGUGGGUUCGCGUAGGUGCCAUCAUGACCUUGAAAUUUGGGUUGUGACAACAUGGAGUGGUACACAUCCCAAAAUAGAAAAUAAAAAAUCGUAGUAAACAAGUUUAAAGAGAGGGGACAUGGAAUCUUACACAUCCCAAAAUAGAAAAUCAAAAACUUUUAUUUUAGAGCAAAUUAACUAUAAAUAUCUCCUGUAAGAAAAAUAUUACUUAAUCAUAAUUUAAUGUCUUUUUUAUUUUGUAGUGAAUCUGAUUGUUCAAAUAGAAUUGUCGAGAAUUCUACGCAUGAUUAAAACAUAUGAAGAACUACAAAAUAUUGAAAUAAGACAUAAAUGACAAAAGUAAAAGAAAUAAAUGAUAAAUCUUAAAUAACUUCCACAAUUGGUGUUAAAAUAACACUAUUACCACAACAGUAAAAGGAAAUUCUUUAAAAUAAUUGGUCUAAAACUCUAGUUUGUUCACACCAAUGCACUUUAAAAGCCCUUCUCGACUUUAUUUGACAUCUAAUAAACUGAAUUGCCAAAACUACAAACAUAGUUUUCAAGGAACAACUCAGUAAACAAGAGGUGCACAUAUAAAACGCGCACUGACUAAUUCGCUACUUCAUUUUAUUCAAGUUUUCAAGGAAAUAUCUAAGCAGACAUGAUGAGACAUUUGAACCAAGGAAAUAUCUAAGCAGCCAAGAGGAGACAUAUAAACGGCAUUGAAACAGUACCGUUUUUCUUCUUUGUUUAAUUUAAUCCAUGAAUGAGAUUUGAGACUUGAGACUUGGGACGGGACCAAUUUGCUUCUUCAUUUUUUCAAUCUAUUUUUGCUUUUUUUUCUCUCAUAAAGUGAAGGACUCAAAUCGAUUGACAGUCAGAAGAAGUCAGUUAGAUUCUAUCCAAAUCUUAUUUUGCUAUUGAAUUUUGUUUCCCCUAUUUUAUUCCCCUUUGUUUACCUAUAUAUCAAAACAUUGAUAUAUACUUGUGGCCAUAAAAACAAAAUCUAGAACUGAACUUACGAAAAAUCAAUGUUACCACAAAGAGGAGGCGACAAACAUUUUUAACCAGAUAUAUGUUUUUUUAACCCUUUGUAUGACAUGUGAGCACUUCUAAUAAAUCAUUGUAUUUAAAUUAAUACACAACAACUACAUACCUAGUGCAACACACAGGCUGGAUUUGGAAAGGCCAAAAUGUAAAACUUUAACCCAACCUUCGCGGGGCACAAAACUUGCUUUUGAUAAACCCUCAGUUCGAAAGAAUUUUUUUGAAAGAAGGGAAAAGGAGAAACAAAAAGGAAAAAGUAAGCAUUUGACGAUUUUGUUUCUAGUCUUCCAACAUUUAUUACAAAUAGUCCACAAAUUCAAAACCAAAAUACUUGCUUAGUUGAACCAUCAUUGUCUAGGUAAACAAAGGGCAAAAAUAGGGGAAACAUUGAUAGUAUAGUAUUACUAGAUAGGUUAUAGUAUUACUUUGUGGGUGUCUUAUUUUUGUUAUUUCAUCUUGUUUCUUGCUUUAUUACGACUUUGUUUACUUCCUUUUUGGUACUGGGCCAGGGAUCUAUCGGAAACAAUCUCUUUACUUCUUCGGAGGUAAUGGUAUGGACUGCGUACAUUCUAUCUCCCAGAACCCACUAGGUGGGAAUACACUGGGUUUGUUGUUGAAGUAUAUAUCAAUGUUUUAUGUCCUUCCACAAUUUUAAAUAAAUAUAUGUUGUAUCUAAUUUAAGUUCGAUAUAAACAAAGCAUAACAAUAAUUGUAAAAAAUACUUUCCCCUUUUCCGAUACAAAACUAUAUAUACAGUGAGUCGAAGUAUUUUCUGGUUCAAAUUUCGAUAAUUUAGGAAGAUCUUACUUUAAGCGAGCAUGAAUUGUGAAUUUAAAUAAUCGAUUGAGCUAGAUUUUUAUAUAUAAUUUCACAGUAGACGUUCAAUAUGCUCGAAUCACAAAAGAAAUAGAAAGACACAAGAAAGGCAAAUCAGGAAAUGCCCCAAAGGGCUCUUCCAAGAAAGGCAAAUCAUGAAAUACCCCAAAAGGCUCUUCCAAGUGAACAUCACCCGCCAAAUAAAAUCAGAAAGCAGUUCAUGGUACGUUAUUAAUUAAUUCAACAUCUUAUAGUGGACUUGUACUAUUAGGGCUUGUUGGGUAUGAGGAUAACUAAUCUCAAAAUUAAUUUUAGGAUGAACUUAUCCCAUGUUUGGGAUAAAAUCGAGGUAUUAAUUAUCUUGAAAUUGUAGUGUUAUUUUUUCCAAGUAUUCUGGUUUUGAAUUUGUGGACUAUUUGUAAUAAAUAUUGGACACUAGAGACAAAAUAGUCAAAUGCUUACUUUUUCCUUUUUCUUUCUCCUUUUUCCUUCUUUCAAUCCCAUUUCAAAUAAAAAAAAUUCGAACUGAGCGUUUACCAAACAAGUUUUGUGCCCCACAAGGGUUAAGGUUUUCGUACAUUUUAGCGUUGCCAAAUCCAACCUGCGUGUUGCACUAGGUAUGUAGUUGUUGUGUAUUAAUUUGAAUACAAUGAUUUAUUGCAAGUGCUCACAUGUCAUACAAAAGGUACAAAAAACAUAUAUUUGGUUUAAAAAUUGUUUGUCACCUCCUCUUUGUGGUAACAUUGAUUUUUUGUAAGUUCAACUCUAAAUUUUGUUUUUAUGGCCACAAGUAUAUAUCGAUUUUUUAUGUCCUUCCACAUUUUUGAAUUAAUAUAUGUUAUAUCUAACUUAUGUUCGAUAUAACAGAAGCAUAACAUUUGAUUGUAAAAAAAAACAUUUUCCCCCUUUUCCAAUACAAACUAUAUGUAUAGAGAGUCAAAGUAUUUUCUAGUUCAAAUUUCGAUAAUUUUAUUUGUUCCAACUUUGGCGUCAUUAGUAUGAAGGGAAGAUCUUACUUUGUGCGAGCAUGAAUUGUGAAUUUAAAUAAUUGAUUGAUAUAGAUUUUUAUAUUUAAUUUCACAGUAAACGUUCAUUAUGCUCGAAUCACAAGAGAAAGAGAGAACGGAUUCUAAGAAGAACAAGAAUUUUGAAGAACACAAAUCAAGAAAUGUCCCAGAAGGCUCUUCCAAGAAGGCAAAUCAGGCAAUGCCCCAAAGGGCUCUUCCCAAAAAGGCAGAUCAAGAGAUGCCCCAGAGGGCUCUUCCAAGAAGACAUCACCUACCAAACAAAAUCAGAAAGCUAUUCAUGGUACGUAAUUAAUUAAUUCAACAUCUUAUAGUGGACUUACACUAUUAGGGCUCGUUUGGUUGAGGAUAACUAAUCCCAAAAUUAAUUUUAGGAUAAAUUUAUCCUAUGUCUCGGAUAAAAUCGAGGUAUAAAUUAUCCCAGGAUUGUAAUGUUAUUUUUUUCUAUAUUGAGGGUAAGAUAACAAUCCCACAAUAACUUAUUUCCCAACCAAACGAGCCCUUAAAAUUAUUGUUUUUCAUUUGGUUAUGUAUGAUUUUUCAGGUGAGCUUGAGAGCCUUGGUAAAGAUAGUCCAAAGAAUAAUUUGAAUUGUACCUCAGUGGACAAUAACGUUGGAAAUACAAAUGUCAAAAAAUUGAAGAUCAUCAUGUAAGGGAAUGUCGAACAAUACGAUGUUGUCCCUUGAUGACGUUUGUGAGGUAAUUGAUCUAACACUUAUGUCUAUUUACACGAAUUUUUUAUUGAGCUUACCCAUUGUAAGCCACAAUAUAUUUUUCUAUCACCAAUCACUUAUAAAAGAAACAAAAUGCAUUUACAGUUGUUUGGAAAUGAGAUAUUCGAAGAACGCAACGAAAGCAACAUAAGAAAGGAUCAAAAGGAUUCUCUUGAGGAGGAACCUAACCAACAACAACAACAACAACAACAGCAAGAAGUUGAUGGUACUAUAGGAAUUUCACAUCUUACAAUUUAAACUUAUGUUAAUUUGUUCAGAAUAAAGAUGAAUCCUAAAUUACAGGGUAAUUGAAACUCUUGACCUUAAUGGCACACAACAAAGCAGUAACCUAAAAUCCACUCAUUAGAUUGAAGCUUCAGUCCCACUUUUUGAACUUAUAAUUUGUUUCAUGUGUAUCAUGCCAUCUCAUUUAGUUACAUAUAAUUUUUAGGUGAAUCUGAGUUCAACAAAGUUACAUGUGAAGAUAGUCUCCCUGAUAAUUCUGAUCGUAUUCUAAACAACAUUGGGUCAACUAUGGUUUGAAACUUUGGACAAGAGAUGCAAGUUAUCUUAUCAAGUAUGGAUCACUGAACAGUAAAACAUUCCGUACCAUUGAUAACCUCUAUGAGGUAGUUAUUCAUAUAAGCCUUAAGUCUAUCUUCCUCUGUAACGUUAAGUAUUUUCAACAAGUUUCUAGUAAUUGUUCAACAGUAGUUUGCUCUUCCUUUACUUUUGGUUCUUAGAUAUUCGACAAAAUAUAUCAAAACUAUUUUGGUUAUCUCAUCAAGUUUUCUUGCAUUCCGCAGAGUACUCCCAGGCUCUCACCAGUUGAAGAUGAAUAUAAUUGGAAUCUUCAAACUAAAGAAGAACCAAAUAUGAAUCAUUCGGCAAAAGAAGAUUCAAGUAUCAAAACAAACAAAGAGAAUGUCGGUUCGGCAAAAGAAGAUUCAAGUAUCAAAACAAACAAAGAGAAUGUUGGUUCUGCAAAAGAAGAUUCAAGUAUCAAAACAAACAAAGAAAAUGUUGGUUCAGCAACAGAAGAUUCAAGUAUCAGAAGAAACAAAGAGAAUGUUGAUUCGGCAAGAGAAGAUUCAAGUAUCAAAAGGAACGAAGAGAAUGUUGGCCGUAAAAGAAAAGAGAGAAAGAACAAAAACAGCAACGAAGAAAAGGAUUCUGCAACUCCUUCCACCUAGCUCCAUGAUUGAAUUUAAUCAUUUCAUUGAAUUCUAGCUGCAAGAUUGCAUUUUAAUCAUUUCUUGUUGAAUUCUAUCAGUUUAUUUACAAUUUCAAAUCUAAGUCUCCUUUAUAAACUUUGCCAAUACUUCUUUGGUUCUUCAUUAUUAACCACCUUUUAUAAAGGUUUAUCUUCAAAAUUCGUCUACAAGAACGGUGAGAUCUCUCUCAGAGUUUAAAAAAAAUCAAAUUUGAUAUUAUACACCAAAUCAGUAAAUGUGAGUUUUCUCCAAAUUCCUGAGAAGGCUACAAACAUAAUAGUGUGUCUAAAUUCAGGUUAAUUUCACAGAAGGCCAUCAAUUUAUAGCUUCACAGAAGAGUGAAUUUUUGUUGAACAUAAAAAGGAAGUCUUGCCUUCCUUCAGGCAGGUAACAACAAAUUGUGAAGGGUGUCUUCUUUUCUCGGAGCUCUUUCAUUGCAAUCUUUAAAGCUAAUGAACAUUAAGGAAGAUACAUCAGACAUUACAUAAACUUUACAAGAAGAAACUCCUGUUUGCCAUUGACUUCAGAUAAAAGUUUUCUUGAUAAGUCACUGACUGCAGGGAAAAAGGAAAAGGACAGUCUCACGACUCACCUUAAGAGGAUCAGUUUCACAACUCACCUUGGAUGUUUUCUGAGGUCGCUCCUCAGGUGCUCUGGUUUUGCCUCACCUUCACCCAUUAGGGGGUCUGGUACACUCUCAGUGUUGCCAUUUUCUUCUUGUAACUCUGAUCCUUCGUACUAACGAAACACGUUAAUGUUUGAUAAUUAAUAUAGUUAUGAAACAUGCAUGAAUUGCAUCCAAAUACUGAGGAGUAUGAAAACAAAUUAUCUUACAUCAGGCUAGGGCUCUAUGGGCUCAUCCUCAUAUCUGCAUCAAUAUACAUAGUUAAAUGACUAAUACAUAUAAAAGAAACCAAAUGACCUUUCCUACAGUUCAACAUAAUUUCUUCACAAUAACUAAAUAAACAAUGGACGACAAAAAGGAACCAGUAAAAUUAAGCUUCUGUGUAACAAUAAAGGAUAACUUUUUGUAUAACUAACCACGUCAAAACAAUACUAACGCACAAGGUCCGUGCCAUGCCACUAUCACUAGAUACAGAAUCCCCAGAAUUUGUGACUUCAUGGUUCCAUGAGAUGCAUCUCCUGAGGCUCAAGCAUGCAGAAGAUUUGAGAAACUCUAGCGAGUAAACUUCAACUUUAACUCCUUAAGCUAAUUGCGCCCUAUGGCUUCAUCUUACUCUGACACUUAACUACCGCCCUCAUAGAAACUCAAUUCACGUUCAAGAAGUUACUGGACUUCUUGAAGUUUGGUAUACUCCAUCAUGCGAUUAGCUAAUCAUAUUUCAAACAGUGGAAAAAGCUCAUACAACAUCAAAAGCCCCAUGGCCCAAACCACCCACAUUGCUACCCCUCCAUCACCAUCCCUAAUAGUGAAUGUUCUCGCUCUGCAGCAAGUCAAUCAAACCAGGAACAUUUAAACAAUACAACAAAGCUCCAACUUUGCUAAGGGAAAUAAUAAUAGCAUUGUGAGCCAAAGGAAUCGAUCAAUGAAAACCAUGUUGGUUUCAAGACAAUGGAACAUUGAGUUAAUUGAUGCACUUAUAGAUGGUGGUUACCAACAAAGUGCUUAUGAUCAUUCAAUCUUUAUCUAGAAGAUUGGUUUUGACAUUAUUGUUGUCUUAGUUGGUUUUGACAUUGUUGUUGUCUUAGUUUAUGUGGAUGAUCUCUUCAUCACUGAGAGCAACCUCGAGUUGAUUCAACAAGCAAAUGAUACAUUCCAUAGAGCAUUCAAGGUCAAGGAACUAGUUCAGUUGAGACAUUUUCUUGGAAUUGAAGCGUUGAUAUAAACUAAAGUAUUCUACUUAACUAGAGGUGAGUAUGUGUUUGAGUUGAUCUCUGAAAUUGGUUUGAGUGGAGCUAAGCCAGCUGUGACAUCUAUGGAGCUUAACCAGAAGCUCACUGCCGUAGAACUAGAAUAUGACAUUCAUGUGGGAAAAACUGAUGAUCCAGAAUUAGUUGAUGUACUCAGUCAGUUCAUGCAAAAACCUAAGCACUCUCACAUGGGUGCUCCUGGUCUGGAAAUUCUAUACAAAGCAAGUAAUAUCAAUACUAUGAUUAUAAAUUGUGAUGUUCUGACUGGGCAGCUUACCCUAACACUACGAGAUCAGUGGCAUGGUCAAGUUAGGUGACUCCUUGAUUUCAUGGAAAUCUAAGAAGCAGCAUACAGUUAGCAGUAAGCACGAGCUCUGCAGAGGCAGAGUACUGGAGUGUGGUUGUGGCAACAGCAAAGUGCAGAGAUCACCUGGUUAGUUGGUUUCUUGGCUGAGCUUGGUUGGAAUUACAAUUGCCUGUGCAAUUGUAUAGUGAUAAUAAAGUUGCUCUUCACGUAGCAGUUAAUUCCAUCUUCCAUGAGAGGAUCAAACACAUUGAUAUAGAUUGUCAUUUUGUCCGGAAAAGUUCAAGUGGGGGUUGAUUACGAAUGCUUAUAUUGCUACUGAAUUGCAAUUAUCUGAUCUUAUGGCCAAAGGACACACUGGUUCUCUUCCAAACUUAAAGUGUUUGACGCCUUACCCUCCACCCUACAACUUGGGGGGGAGUACCGGAUACCACCCUCCGACUUGGGGGGGAGUACCGGAUAUAUAUUGACACAAGUGUGAAAGGCUCUUUAGUCACAAUGUAAUAACAUAGAGGCCUUAGUUGUCUUUUCCUGACUUGAUCAGUUGAGUCACUUGCCUAGUUCGGAGAAGAUUUUUAUAGGAGGGGAUUUUAAUGGGCACAUCGGGUCAUUGCCGUUAAGGUAUGAUGAUGUGCAUGGAGGCUUUGGGUUCGGGGUUAGGAAUGAUGAGGGAGCUGCUCUUUUGGAGUUUGCAAGGACCUUUGGGUUGGUGGUAGUGAAUCCCAGUUUUCCGAAGAAGGAGCAUCUGGUUACUUUCCGUAGUAGGUUAGCCAAAACUCAGAUUAACUUUUUGCUGCUUAGGAACGGGGAUAGAGCUUUGUGUAAGGAUUGUAAGGUAAUCCCAAGUGAGAAUUAUGCGACCCAGCAUAGCAUAGACUCCUAGUGAUGGACCUGGCUAUCAAGAAGGGCAAGAAAAGGCGGGGUGGGAAGGGUCCACCUAACUCUAGGUGGGGCGGACAGACUCCGAUUAGUGCUUUGGAGAUAGGGGCGAAGUUGGAGGGGAUGGGGGUGUGGGAGUGUGGGGGGACGUGGAUAGUAUGUGGGAUAGGGUUGCUGGUUGCAUCAAGGAGUCUGCUAGAGAGGUGUUGGGUGUAUCAAGGGGCUGGUCUGGCCAGUAUCCGGGGGAUUAGUGGUGGAAUGAAGAUGUUAAGAAGAAGGUGGAGACAAAGAAGGCGGCUUAUGCUAAGUUGGUUAAGAGUAAGGAUGAAGAGGAGAAGCGGGUGAGCAGGGAGGAGUACAAGUUAGCUAAGAAGGAGGCUAAGUUAGUAGUUACGGCUGCUAAGACAGCAGCUUUUGAGAGUUUGUAUAAGAGGUUAGAGGAGAAAGGUGGGAAAAAAGGUUGUUUAGGCUUGCCAAGGUUAAGGAGUGGAAGGGGCGGGAUCUGGAUCAAGUGAAGUGCAUUAAGGGGGAGGAUGGCAGAGUAUUGGUUGAAGAUGACCUCAUUAAGAAAAGAUGGCAGUUGUAUUUCCAUAGGCUGUUGAAUGAGAAGGCGGACAGAGGUGUGUUAGGGGAGUUGGAGUACUACGGGGAGUGUCGCGAUUUCGACUAUUAUCGGCAUUUUAAGGUAGAGAAGGUUAGUGAGGCUAUUCGCAAGAUGCGAAGGGGCAGGGCGACGGGGCCCGACGAGAUCCCGGUGGAUUUUUGGAAGUUUUCUAGCGGGGCAGGGUUGAGGUGGCUAACCAACUUGUUUAACAACAUUUUCAAGUCCGCAAGGAUGCCCGAGGCCUGGAGAUGGAGCACGAUGAUUCCUUUAUAUAAGAACAAGGGUGACAUUCAAAGUUGCAACAACUAAAGGGGUAUUAAGUUGUUGAGUCACACGAUGAAGAUUUGGGAGAGGGUGGUGGAGCGGAGGUUGAGGAAGAUUGUGUCUAUUUCGGAGAAUCAAUUUGCAUUUAUGCCUGGUCGCUUCACGAUUGAGGCAAUUCACCUAGUGCGGAGAUUGGUAGAGCAGUAUAGAGAAAGGAAGAGGGAUCUGCAUAUGGUGUUUAUUGACUUGGAAAAGGCGUAUGACAAGGUUCCGAGGGAGGUUCUGUAGAGAUGCUUGGAGGCGAGGGGAUCCCUGUGGCGUACAGCAAAGUGAUUAGGGACAUAUAUGAGGGGGCGAAGACUCGGGUAAGGACAGUGGGAGGAGAUUCCGAGCAUUUCCCUAUCUUGACAGGAUUGCACCAGGGAUCAACUCUUAGUUCGUUUUUAUUCGCCUUGGUGAUAGAUGUGUUGACGCGGAGUAUACAAAGUGAGGUGCCUUGGUGUAUGCUUUUUGCGGAUGAUAUAGUUUUGAUUGAUAAGUCGCGACAAGGUGUUAAUGAUAAGCUGAAGGUUUGGAGACAAACCCUGGAGUCUAAAGGUUUCCGAUUGAGUAGGACUAAGACGGAGUACUUGGAGUGCAAGUUUAGUGACUUGAGGAAAAAGGAGAAGGUGGUAGUGAAGUUGGAUUCCCAGACGGUUUGCAAGAGGGAUAGUUUUAUGUAUCUUGGGUCCACGAUUCAGGGGAAUGGAGAGAUAAAUGAGGAUGUCUCUCACCAUAUUGGGGCAGGUUGUAAGAAAUAGAGGCUCGCUUCAGGAAUUUUAUGCGAUAAGAAGGUGCCCCCUAAGUUGAAAAGCAAAUUCUAUAGAAUCGCAGUACAGCCAGCUAUGUUACAUGGAGUGGAGUGUUGGCUGGUUAAGAAUUCUCAUAUCCAAAAGUUGAAGGUGGCGAAAAUGAGGAUGUUGCGUUGGAUGUGUGGAUUUACAAGGGCUGAUAGGGUUAGGAAUGAGAUUAUUCAGGAGAAGGUGAGUGUGGUGUCGGUGGAGAAUAAAAUGCGAGAAGUGAGGUUGAGAUGGUUUGGUCAUGUGAUAAGGAGGGGUACGGAUGCUCCGGUUCGUAGGUGUAAGAGGUUGGCCUUGGAUGGUUUCAAGCGGGGUAGGGGUAGACCGAAGAAAUACUAGAGGAAAGUGAUUAAACGUGACAUGGAGUAGUUACAGCUGACUGAGGACAUGACCCUAAAUAGAAAGGUAUGGAGGAAAAACAUUAGGAUAGAGGGAUAAGGUGUGUGGGUGAGUCGUAGCCCGUAGUUAGGAGGGUUUUGGGGUCUUUUGUUUGGCAAUAUACAAUAUUUUUGUGGAUGUCGUUCCUAUGUUAUUUUAUCAUGUCCCAUGCUUUUGAUGUUUUUUGUAUACUGUCCUUUGUCUUGAGCCGAGGAUCUAUGGGAAACAGCCUCUCUACUUCUUUACAGAUAGUGAUAUGGACUGCGUACAUUCUAGCCUCCCCAGACCCCACGAUGUGGGAAUAUACUGGGUUUGUUGUUGUUGAUUAGUUGAGCCACUGGUAAGCCUUUUAAGAGGCAAUAAAAGUCAAUUUUAGUACACAAUUUACAUUUCCUGCAAAAUAUCUUCUCUUCUCCAUCCAACACAGCCCAACUAUUGAGUGCUCCCUUUUUCCUAUCUGAACUAUCAUCAUCGAUGUACUAAACACAGCUCGAAGCUGACUAGGCCAACUAUCAAUUAUUUUGUUUUCCUAACCGGCCGAUCACCAUCAAAGACAGAGCUAGAACUUUAACUUUAUGGGUUCCAAAUUUUAGAAGGGCCAUUUCAAUUACUAAAAAUAACGUUCUAAAUUUAUUAUUUAUACAUAUUUAAUGAAUUCUUAAACACAAAUGCAUUGUUUGAACAAAAGUUACUGGGAUCAGCCAAACCUGUAUUCGGCUUCUAGCUCUGUCCCUUAUCUACAUAGAUGGUGGUAGUUCAGGCAUGAAAAAAGAACAGCCAAUAAUAGUUGGGGUGUGAAACAAUCACUACACCGAAAAAAGAUAUUUAGUAGCAAUUAUUUAACAACAAUAGCUUAAUUGCCGCUAAAUUAUGUUUUCUAGAGGAAAUUACUAGUGACAAAAACAUUUUAGCACUCUUUAUAAAUGUCCCCGAAGCCUAUAACGACAUUUGUAUCCAAUGAGAAUUAACUAACGCCAGUAAAAAUUUAGUUCUCUUAAUUAAAAUGCAUAUUUAUUGCCGCUAAAAAGGUUGGGCCUCAUAUUUCUCCAAUAUACCACGUUCAUAUGGUGGUGCAAUGUGGUACGUGACUCCACGCUUGAAGGUGAUACCACAGUGGUACAAUUAGGACCUCAAUAUGGUUUUAUUCUGUUUAUCAUAGCGGAAUUUAUGUUCUUUUUUGCUCUUUUCGGGCUUUUUCUCAUUCUUCUUUGGCACUUAAAAGCCUUUAUUGUUGUAGUGAGUGGUAAUUUACUAUUAUCUCACAACAAAAACAGGAAAAGAAAGAGGCAAUUUUUUACUAACCUUUCUUGACGAAGAAAAAACCGUAUAUAGUCAAAAAGAAAAUAGUAUUACACAAAAACCAGAUAAAAAAUAUUCAAUAAUAUAAUAUUCAAAAAUAAUGGUAGUAGGAAUUACCUCCAUCCCUAUCAUAGUCCUCGUCUGCCAUUGUUGAAUCCGUUUGAGAACUCCGUUGAAUCCAAUGACAAUUAACUAAAGCCGUAAAAAUUCUAAUACUCGUUACUAAAAUGCAUAUUUAUUGCCCUUUAUUGGUGCAGUGAGUGAUGGUUCAGGUGCAUUCUUUACCAUUAUCUCAAAAACAAUACACAUAAAUCACGUCAAAAGGUUCAAUAAUAAUAAUACGAAAUAAUUAGUAAAAAUGGUAGCAUAAAUUACCCUCCGUUCAUAUUAUAGUCGUCUUCGCCCACUGUUGAAUCCGAAGAAUAUGAAGGAUAGGUGGAAAGGGAAAUACUGAACUUCCCAUAGGAAACCUUUUCACAUAAAUUAAUGUUCUACUGUAAUACCUAUAUAGCCCCUUAAGACUUUUUUAUAUUGAAAUCCGAAUAAUUUAGAUUGAGAUUGCUCCAUAUUAGAGCCUAUUUUUUUUUUUUUGGUUUACACCACCUGGUGUUCGAUAUCCACUUUUUAGGAGUCCAACUAUAUUCAAAUUUUCCCUGCGUCGGGUGCCAUUUGGGGGAGAGCUUCCAACAGAGUGGGUCGAACCCUCGACCUCUGAGUAGGUUGGGGCAGCCCCUUUCCGC
rnacentral:lncRNA from 1 species